ensembl:miRNA
CGUGGGCUCACGUUGUAGUCCAGGCUGGCCUUGAAUUCACAGUGAUCCUCCUGCCUCAGCUUCCUGAGUGCUGGGAU